rnacentral:rRNA from 1 species
UACGGGGGAGGCAAGCGUUAUCCGGAAUUAUUGGGCGUAAAGCGUCCGCAGGUGGUCUUCCAAGUCUGCUGUCAAAGAAUGGGGCUUAACUCCAUACCGGCGGUGGAAACUGGAAGACUAGAGAGCAGUAGGGGUAGCAGGAAUUCCCAGUGUAGCGGUGAAAUGCGUAGAGAUUGGGAAGAACAUCGGUGGCGAAAGCGUGCUACUGGGCUGUAUCUGACACUCAGGGACGAAAGCUAGGGUAGCGAAAGGG